rnacentral:rRNA from 1 species
AUUGAACGCUGGCGGCAGGCCUAAUACAUGCAAGUCGAACGAGUGGCGGACGGGUGAGUAAUGUCUGGGAAACUGCCCGAUGGAGGGGGAUAACUACUGGAAACGGUAGCUAAUACCGCAUACCAUCGGAUGUGCCCAGAUGGGAUUAGCUAGUUGGUGGGGUAACGGCUCACCUAGGCGACCAUCCCUAGCUGGUCUGAGAGGAUGACCAGCCACACUGGAACUGAGACACGGUCCAGACGCCAACGGGAGGCAGCAGUGGGGAAGAUUGACCAAUGGCGGCAAUCCUGCUGAAGCCAUGCCGCGUGUAUGAAGAAGGCCUUUGGGUUGUAAAGUACUUUCAGCGAGGAGGCGUUACUCGCAGAAGAAGCACCGGCUAACUCCGUGCCAGCAGCCGCGGUAAUUC